CACGUAGUUAGCCGGUGCUUAUUCUUCAGGUACCGUCAUCAACUGUCGGUAUUAGCAACAGCCUUUUCUUCCCUGACAAAAGUCCUUUACAACCCGAAGGCCUUCUUCAGACACGCGGCAUGGCUGGAUCAGGCUUGCGCCCAUUGUCCAAAAUUCCCCACUGCUGCCUCCCGUAGGAGUCUGGGCCGUGUCUCAGUCCCAGUGUGGCGGAUCAUCCUCUCAGACCCCGCUACUGAUCGUCGCCUUGGUAGGCCUUUACCCCACCAACUAGCUAAUCAGAUAUCGGCCGCUCGAAUAACGCAAGGCCCGAAGGUCCCCUGCUUUCCUCCUCAGAGAAUAUGCGGUAUUAGCUAAUCUUUCGAUUAGUUAUCCCCCAUUACUCGGUACGUUCCGAUAUGUUACUCACCCGUUCGCCACUCGCCACCCAAGAAGCAAGCUUCUCUGUGCUGCCGUCCGACUUGCAUGUGUAAAGCAUGCCGCCAGCGUUCAAUCUGAGCCAA
rnacentral:rRNA from 1 species